rnacentral:rRNA from 2 species
CAAUAAGCGGAGGAAAAGAAACUAACAAGGAUUCCCCUAGUAACUGCGAGUGAAGCGGGAUGAGCUCAAAUUUAAAAUCUGGCGUCUUCGGCGUCCGAGUUGUAAUUUAGAGAAGUGUUUUCCGCGCCGGACCGUGUACAAGUCUCCUGGAACGGAGCGUCAUAGAGGGUGAGAAUCCCGUCUUUGACACGGACCCCCGGUGCUCUGUGAUACGCUCUCGAAGAGUCGAGUUGUUUGGGAAUGCAGCUCAAAAUGGGUGGUGAACUCCAUCUAAAGCUAAAUAUUGGCGAGAGACCGAUAGCGAACAAGUACCGUGAGGGAAAGAUGAAAAGCACUUUGGAAAGAGAGUGAAACAGUACGUGAAAUUGUUGAAAGGGAAACGCUUGAAGUCAGUCGCGUCCGCCGGGAUUCAGCCUUACGGUGUACUUCUCGGUGGACGGGCCAGCAUCACUUUCGAUCAUCGGAAAAGGGCGAGGGGAAUGUGGCACCUCCGGGUGUGUUAUAGCCCUUUGUCGUAUACGGUGACCGGGAGUGAGGACCGCCUUUUGUAGGAUGCUGGCGUAAUGGCUUUAAACGACCCGUCUUGAAACACGGACCAAGGAGUCUAACAUGCCCGCGAGUGUUCGGGUGGAAAACCCGUGCGCGUAAUGAAAGUGAAAGUUGGGAAGGCUGUCGCGGCCUGCACCGACGCCCGGACUUGAGAUUUAUCUAAGGUUCUGCGGUAGAGCGUGUAUGUUGGGACCCGAAAGAUGGUGAACUAUGCCUGAAUAGGGUGAAGCCAGAGGAAACUCUGGUGGAGGCUCGUAGCGAUUCUGACGUGCAAAUCGAUCGUCGAAUUUGGGUAUAGGG